AAAAGAGCAAGCCUUAUCUAUUAGCUAGGUGUAGCUGCCUUAUUUGUUCUUCUCUAUCAAGUCGACAACUCCUCCUCUCCAAUUGCUGACUAUUCCUUUAUAUAUAUGUAUCUGAUGCGUAAUCAUCAAGGAUUGUAUAAGUAUAAAUAGGGACCUCAAGAGCUGCAAACUCUAGUAAGAAACGAGUCUAGUGAGAGAUGAAUAAAGAGAAGAGGGAAAAGGUACUUUGGGUCGGAGAAAGUGAGCGAGUGAGAGAGGGGAUGAGAAAAGAAAUUAAGAUGAAGGUUGAAUUGGAUGUCUGCGGAGAUGGCAAACAAAUUAAGGUAUAAGAGAAGAGAGCUGCUGUGUUGAUGAUGGUCAGUCGGCUUUGAAAGAAUCAAAUAAAGGAGCAAGGUCGAUUACGGUGGACUAAUGUCCUUCUGCCAGUAUGAGGAGAACACAGACACAGAGGGGAGUUGCUGAAGGUAGACUCUUGUAGUAAAGAGUCGGAGCAGUGCUUUGGAAUCUAGGUAGGGGAAAUACGGCAGACCUUUACGGAGAUUGGUUUUAUUAAAUUUUGUGAAGCAUUAUACUAUUAUUAUCGAUCUUGUUGGUUGAUUAAUGUGAUAUGGGUUGCUAAUUGGAUAAAUACUGGUCUUGCGUGUUUUCUUGUUAUUGGUUAUGGAAUUAUUGGUGAAAUGCUAUUGGUUGAGAAUAUACUAUGGUAUAUGUGAAUGAUAUAUGAAAGUAUUUGUGAAUCAUUCAUAAUUGGUCAUGUGGUUGGAGUUUUCAGUGGUGAGAAGGAAUUGGAAAUGGAGGUAGUUGGAAAUGAUCUUUUGUGUAGUUGAGCCAAACUCUUAGCACGUACCAGGUCUCAAGCGAGCUCACAGUGCACAAAUUCUUUAAGGGUAAUUCGGGACUAGCUACGAAGGGUUUUGGCAAGAUGACUAACAAAAGGACAAAUUGGGAUGAUUGAGUUACAGGGGGUUAAUUUGUAUAUUAAAACAUUCGAACCACCACUGCAGAGGUAAAAUGCAUGGUAUGGGAUGUGCAGGUCCGCGUGUUUUAUUAUAUGAAGUAACGGGCAGAGAUGAAGAGUAUUGCAUUGCACUCAUACAUUGUUAUCGAUGAUGAUUUGAUACUGAUUAUAAGAUGUCAUGAUACUUAAUAUUGUCAAUCUACUAUGGUAAGGUUAUGUCCCUACUGAGCUGUUGAAGCUCACCAUCUAUUGUUAUGCAGGUUUACUAACUAAACUAUCAAAAGGGUAGACGGGAUGAGACGAAAUAGAUGUGAGGCUAGAAUUUGUAUUUAUUUAUUUAGCCUUGUAAAGAAUUAUGGAUUUCUUUUUAUAAGAGGAAAUUUAUUUUU